rnacentral:rRNA from 1 species
UGAAACCAGGAUUAGAUACCCUGUUAUACUUAAUUGUAAAUGAGAUGAUUGCUUGAGUAGUAUACAGUUAUGUUCUUGGAACUCAAAGGAUUUGGCGGUAUUUUAGUCCGGUUAGAGGAGCCUGUUCUAUAAUCGAUAAACCACGAAUAAGUUUACUUCUUAAAGUUGAUCAGUUUGUAUACCGUCAUUAUAAGAUAACUCUUACAAGAUUGUUGUUGUAAUAGGAUAUGUAUUAGUAUAUUAGAUCAAGGUGCAGCUAAUUAAGGAGGUUGAAAUGGGCUACAAUAAUAUUUAUUUAAAUGGAUUUCUUUUUGUAAAGGAAGAAUGAAGGUGGAUUUAAUUGUAAUUUUUGUUUAGGAAGAUAAAGUGAUAGUGGCUCUAAAAUAUGUACAUAUCGCCCGUCGCUAA